GUGCCAGCAGCCGCGGUAAUACAGAGGGUGCGAGCGUUGUCCGGAAUCACUGGGCGUAAAGGGCGCGUAGGUGGCUUGCCAAGCGUGUGGUGAAAGCCCGGAGCUCAACUCCGGGUCUGCCAUGCGAACUGGCAGGCUUGAGCACGGUAGAGGCCAAUGGAAUUCCGGGUGUAGCGGUGGAAUGCGUAGAGAUCCGGAAGAACACCGGUGGCGAAGGCGGUUGGCUGGGCCGUAGCUGACACUGAGGCGCGACAGCGUGGGGAGCAAACAGGAUUAGAAACCCUCGUAGUCC
rnacentral:rRNA from 1 species